rnacentral:rRNA from 1 species
AGUGAACGCUGGCGGUAGGCCUAACACAUGCAAGUCGAACGGCAGCACAGUAAGAGCUUGCUCUUACGGGUGGCGAGUGGCGGACGGGUGAGGAAUACAUCGGAAUCUACUUUUUCGUGGGGGAUAACGUAGGGAAACUUACGCUAAUACCGCAUACGACCUACGGGUGAAAGCAGGGGAUCUUCGGACCUUGCGCGAUUGAAUGAGCCGAUGUCGGAUUAGCUAGUUGGCGGGGUAAAGGCCCACCAAGGCGACGAUCCGUAGCUGGUCUGAGAGGAUGAUCAGCCACACUGGAACUGAGACACGGUCCAGACUCCUGCGGGAGGCAGCAGUGGGGAAUAUUGGACAAUGGGCGCAAGCCUGAUCCAGCCAUACCGCGUGGGUGAAGAAGGCCUUCGGGUCGUAAAGCCCUUUUGUUGGGAAAGAAAAGCAGCAGGUUAAUACCCCGCUGUUCUGACGGUACCCAAAGAAUAAGCACCGGCUAACUUCGUG